AUACUUUUUUAGACGUUAGACUUCUGAAGUAAAACUUGAAGAGAAACGUAUACACAUCUGAG
rnacentral:snRNA from 1 species